rnacentral:tRNA from 1 species
GCCUUCGUGGUGUAAUGGUCAGCACACUAGGCGCGUGCUCGAGAGGUCGGAGGUUCGAAUUCCAGCGAAGGCA